rnacentral:rRNA from 1 species
UACGUAGGGUGCAAGCGUUGUCCGGAAUUAUUGGGCGUAAAGAGCUCGUAGGCGGUGUGUCACGUCGAUCGUGAAAACUUUCAGCUUAACUGGGAGCUUGCGGUCGAUACGGGCAUCACUGGAGUUCGGCAGGGGAGACUGGAAUUCAAGGUGUAGCGGUGAAAUGCGCAGAUAUCUUGAGGAACACCGGUGGCGAAGGCGGGUCUCUGGGCCGAUACUGACGCUGAGGAGCGAAAGCGUGGGGAGCAAAGCAGG